GCUUGUCUCAAAGAUUAAGCCAUGCAUGUCUUAGUGUAAAUAACUCUUAUGAAACUGCGAAUGGCUCAUUAAAUCAGAAACUGUUUAUUUGAUAGUGCCUACUACAUGGAUACCUGUAGUAAUUCUAGAGCUAAUACAUGCAAAAAGCCUGGACUUCUGGAACAGGCGUAUUUAUUAGAUAUACAAACCAACCGCUUCGGCGACCCUUGGUGACUCAUAAUAACUUCGCGAAUCGUUUUCGGACGAUGAUUCAUUCAAAUUUCUGCCCUAUCAGCUUUGGAUGGUAGGAUAUGGGCCUACCAUGGCAUUAACGGGUAACGGGGAAUUAGGGUUUGAUUCCGGAGAGGGAGCCUUAGAAACGGCUACCACAUCCAAGGAAGGCAGCAGG
rnacentral:rRNA from 1 species